CUCUGUCGCCCAGGCUAAAGUACAGUGGUGCGAUCUCAGCUCACUGCAACCUCUGUGUCCUGGGCUCAGGCCAUUCUCUUGCCUCAGCCUCCCGAGUAGUGGGACUACAGGCGC
rnacentral:snoRNA from 1 species